AUGAUCAUCGCCUUACUGUGCUGGGGGGUCUGGGGUCUCCUGCAGGCAGGUGUGGUGAAGGCUGGGGUCUCUCAGACCCCCAGAUUCCAGAUCCUGAGGACAGGACAGAGCAGGAACCUGAGUUGUGUCCAGGAUAUGAACCAUGAGUCCAUGUACUGGUAUCGCCAGGACCCGGGACUCGGGCUGAGGCUCAUCUAUUACUCAUAUAUUGUUGGAUCCAAGGACAAAGGAGACUUCCCCGAUGGGUAUAAUGUCUACAGACCAAAAAAGCAGAAGUUCCUGCUCACGCUGGAGUCUGCCUCCCCCUCCCAGACAUCUGUGUACUUCUGUGCCAGCAGUGUGUCAGGGAGGGGAACUGAGUCACUGGGAGGUCCCAGGACCCCUGGAGAGGCUGAGACUCCUCACCCACGGAGGUGGACACGGCCUUGA